rnacentral:rRNA from 1 species
GAUGAACGCUGGCGGCGUGCUUAACACAUGCAAGUCGAACGGAAAGGCCUCUGCUUGCAGGGGUACUCGAGUGGCGAACGGGUGAGUAACACGUGGGUGAUCUGCCCUGCACUUCGGGAUAAGCCUGGGAAACUGGGUCUAAUACCGGAUAGGACAAUGGUUUGGAUGCUGUUGUGGAAAGUUUUUCGGUGUGGGAUGAGCUCGCGGCCUAUCAGCUUGUUGGUGGGGUAAUGGCCUACCAAGGCGUCGACGGGUAGCCGGCCUGAGAGGGUGUACGGCCACAUUGGGACUGGGAUACGGCCCAGACUCCUACGGGAGGCAGCAGUGGGGAAUAUUGCACAAUGGGCGCACGCCUGAUGCAGCGACGCCGCGUGGGGGAUGACGGCCUUCGGGUUGUAAACUCCUUUCGCUAGGGACGAAGCGUUUUUGUGACGGUACCUGGAGAAGAAGCACCGGCUAACUACGUG